GGUGCAACUUUAAAGCAUAAAAGAUGACAAGCCUAACAGCAGCAGUGGGGCAAGGGUAGCUGCUGCCCUGAGCAUGGCCCUCAGUGCUUGCCCAGCUUUGCCAGGCUCCCAGUGGCCACCUCUGCUCUGCCCACAGGGCAAGAUCAGCGACAGCCUUGGCACCUGCUACCAGCACCUGGACUAGACAAGCUGGACUUUCGCUGCCGCCACCCGGGCACUAGACGUCGAGCUGCGAUCUAUCAGAAAAUCCCAAGCACGGACCCUUCUUCUAACACGACCAAAGAGAUCAUUGCUUCUGUCCAGACAAUGGUUUCACCAAACAGCACCAUGGUGUCCUGUAACCAUUACUCCUCCAUCUACCUGUAGUACGCUAUGUUUUUGGCAGCACUGACCUGGUAGUAUGUGAACAUAAAGUCAAACGUGUCCGAGGAGUGCAUCCAGGCUGGAGAGAACUGAGGGGAGAGCACAGGUCUGAAAUGCCAGCAGAUCUCAGACAGCUUUGCAAUGCGGAUUUCCCCCCUACCCCUCCACCCCAGCAUUGCUGUUCAGGGAGUGAGGAGAACCCCGUCGGUUCGGUAGUGAUCCUACCCACCUUGCCCUGCCCCAUCUGGUCUGAGCAAAGCCAUGUUGGACCAGGACUGCUUGCUGGGUGCACAGACACUGUCCUGUAGUCCUGCUUCUCAGUUGCAUGCACAGCUAUUCCUAACAGGCUAAUCCCGGUGUCCACUCAUCCACAGGCCUUUGCACUGGUGGCACCAGCAGCGUCUUAAAGCCCAGAAUCAUGGGCUCUGACUACCAUUGCCUACUGUUAGGAUCUAGACUGAGCUACAUCUUGCUUUCCAUGAAAAGCUUCUGCUACCAGGAGCAGCCUGUUCUCUCGUUCUAUGUCUGUUCUGAUGUGCUAAAGUGAAUCUGUUUAGAGCCAGCAAAAGUAAGCAUCCACUGUGGUAGCAAGAGCAAGGGCACUGAAGCCUGGCUUUCACAGGUCAUGGCAAGACUGGUACGUGCAACAUCCCUCCUCUGUGAACAUUUGAGGUCUGUUGGCUUCCUAAAACUCCCCACAGCAC